rnacentral:lncRNA from 1 species
AUCUUUGCUUUCCUAGUGUCUUUUGAAGUUUUAUGAAGGUUUUAAUGGUAGAGUAUGGGUAGAUAUGCAUGUUAGGAUUUAUGUGGGUUUUAUGCCCAAUGUAUGUUAUGUGACGCUCAUGUAUGUUUAUAUGAUGCUAUGUUGAAUGUUUAGGCUAGGUUAUGCAUGUGGGAGAGUGUAUGCAUGAGUGGGAAAGAGCAAGUGAGAUUAUGGGUUGUUUUGAUG